GAUGAACGCUGGCGGCGUGCUUAACACAUGCAAGUCGAACGAAGCAUUACCGAUUGAGACUUCGGUGGAUUUUGGUAAUGACUGAGUGGCGGACGGGUGAGUAACGCGUGGGUAACCUGCCUCACACAGGGGGACAACAGUUGGAAACGACUGCUAAUACCGCAUAAGCGCACAGGAUCGCAUGAUCCAGUGUGAAAAACUCCGGUGGUGUGAGAUGGACCCGCGUCUGAUUAGCUAGUUGGUGGGGUAACGGCCCACAAAGGCGACGAUCAGUAGCCGGCCUGAGAGGGUGAACGGCCACAUUGGGACUGAGACACGGCCCAG
rnacentral:rRNA from 1 species